AGCGAACGCUGGCGGCAGGCCUAACACAUGCAAGUCGAACGAACUCUUCGGAGUUAGUGGCGGACGGGUGAGUAACACGUGGGAACGUGCCUUUAGGUUCGGAAUAACUCAGGGAAACUUGAGCUAAUACCGGAUGUGCCCUUCGGGGGAAAGAUUUAUCGCCUUUAGAGCGGCCCGCGUCUGAUUAGCUAGUUGGUGAGGUAAAGGCUCACCAAGGCGACGAUCAGUAGCUGGUCUGAGAGGAUGAUCAGCCACAUUGGGACUGAGACACGGCCCAAACUCCUACGGGAGGCAGCAGUGGGGAAUCUUGCGCAAUGGGCGAAAGCCUGACGCAGCCAUGCCGCGUGAAUGAUGAAGGUCUUAGGAUAGUAAAAUUCUUUCACCGGGGACGAUAAUGACGGUACCCGGAGAAGAAGCCCCGGCUAACUUCGUG
rnacentral:rRNA from 1 species